rnacentral:rRNA from 1 species
AUGGCCAUUCACGUCCCGCAAAGAUCAACCACUCGUGCCCGGGAUCACUAUCCAAUCAAAAACCAGACUUCCAGGAUCCAUCUCACUCAGACCCUUUUGAAUGUAGUGGAUAACAGUGGGGCUAUCGAAUUGAUAUGUAUUCGAAUCUUAGGAGCUGGUAAUCACUGAUAUGCUCAUAUUGGUGACGUUAUUGUUGUUGUAAUCAAAGAAGCAGUGCCCAAAAUGCCUCUAGAAAGAACAGAAGUAAGACGAGCUGUAAUUGUACGUACAUGUAAAAACUCAAACAUGACAACAAUAUGAUAAUACGAUAUGAUGAAGGUUGUCAUUGAUCAAGAAGGAAAUCCAAAAGGAACUCGAGUUUUUGGUGCGAUCGCUCGGGAAUUGAGACUUAUGAAUUUCACUAAAAGAGUCUCAUGAGCUCCUGAGGUAUUAAAAAUACUAGUAGUAGAGACUAUGAUAUAG